rnacentral:lncRNA from 1 species
GUAACUAAUUCCUGAACGGUCUAGAUUGAUUUACUUUUAAACGGACGGUCCAGAUUAAAACUUAAAGCAACGGUCCAUACUGAUUCACUAUUAAAACUUUAAACCAGCGAUCCAUACUGAUUCACUAUUAAAACUUUAAACCAACGAUCCAUAUUGAUUUACUAAUAUAAAUUCAACCAACGGUCUGAAAAAUUAGCACAACUCCUCAUGGAAUAAUAUUGUACCCAUAAAUAAUUUGGACGGAAAAGAAAUAUAUUGUUCGGGUGAAUAGUAACUUGUGAAUAGUAACUCAUGAAUAGUAACUCAUGAAUAGUAACUCAUAAAUAGUAACUAGUGAAUAGUAACUCAUGAAUAGUAACUCAUGAAUAGUAACUUGUGAAUAGUACUUUGACACGAAAAGUUCCUCGAAUACCCGAUUGAACAAUAUAACCUCCAGACAUCAAUUAUCAUCGGAAUAGAUGUCUAUUUCUACUAACACAAAUAAUCCCAACAUAAUAAAACUAUCAAAUUCAUCUUUAAUCAACACGAACUUAUUCAUCAUUAAUAUUAUAACUCGCAAUAUUUAACAACCAGGUUGUUCCCAUGAAAGAUGAGGCUUUCCAAAAAGGAUUUCUCCCUAUUGGCUUGCAAUUAGGUGACCAAACCUCUCCUUGACAGAACUUCUAGACAUUGUAAAUAUUGUAAUUUAAUAAUAUGAAUAACUUUGUCGUCUCAAUUAUUGAUUUAAUAAUAUAUCAUAU